rnacentral:rRNA from 1 species
GACGAACGCUGGCGGCGUGCUUAACACAUGCACGUCGCACGGAGUGGCGAACGGGUGAGUAACACGGGGGUGACCUGCCCUGCACUUCGGGAUAUGCCUGGGCAACUGGGUCUAAUACCGGAUAGUGUGGGAUGGGCCCGCGGCCUAUCAGCCUGUUGGUGGGGUAAUGGCAUACCAAGGCGGCGACGGGUAGCCGGCCUGAGAGGGUGGACGGCCACAUCGGGACUGAGACACGGCCCAGACUCGUACGGGAGGCAUCAGUGGGGAAUAUUGCACAAUGGGCGGAAGGCUGAUGCAGCGACGCCGCGUGCGGGAUGACGGCCUUCGGGUUGUAAACUCCUUACUCCAGCUACGCGGUAUACGGAGAAGAAGCACCGGCUAACUACGUGCCAGCCGCCGCGGUAAUUC